CCUUAUUAAGAGCGGCUGAGGGAAUAGGCCCAGCGAAGCCCGGCAACCUGUAUCAACAAGGUGCUAAAUCCUACAGAAUAUCAAUUCUGAAAGAUGAGG
rnacentral:ncRNA from 1 species